rnacentral:lncRNA from 1 species
CUAGGAAAGCAUUAAAUGAAUCAGACUACCUGAUUCUGUUUUGCCAGAGCUAUAUUAGUAUGAGUGCCAGAAAAUUUAAGUAGAUCUAAAGCAGCUACAGUAAUACAUCAGAGUUACAGGGCUGGCCUAGGCCCUGUGGCAAAGAUUUUAUUUGUAAGUAGCUUUUUUUUUUUUGACAAGCAAUUUUUACUCAUGAAAUAAAUGGAUAAUGCCUUAUUCCAAGAUGGCUGUAAAAAAAAAAAAAAAAAAAACCUUAAUGGAUGAAAAUUGUUUUAUUUCAUUAAUGCAAAACAAAAUCAUCUUAAGUUAGCUCAUUUAGGUUGUAACUUACUCCUUUUUACUGGAAAUCAGAACAUUUAUCAAUUCUGUUCUUUGCAGUCAGAAUUAUAGCCUGGGUCUUUAUUAUGAUCGUCCCUGACUUCUCCAGUUAAUUCAAUUGCAUUUCAGUAGCUGAGUCAGAAACAUCUCAUUUAUCUUAUCAAAUAAUAUAGUCAUUAUAUUCUAAUACAGUAGAUGGAUCCCAGUAAACAUCUGGGGGGAUUUUGGGUGACUUAGGGAGGGAAAAGGAAAUAUUUCAACAAUGAGCUUGACAGGUAUUUUUGGGUAGAGAUUUCAUAAUAUUUACUCCUCCUGAGCUCUGUUUGUCCCACUGUACUUACUCUGGUGUUACACCACUCGGUGAUGCAUUCCCAGCAGAACAGGUGCCCACAAGGUGUGGCUGUUGCAUGUCUCCGUUCCUCCAAACACAAAGUGCAGCGGGACUGGCGCCCAGUAGUUCCUUCCUUUAUCGUAUUUCUAAUCAACAAAGGUAUUAAUUAGCUUUAUGAGGCCUGUUUGCAAGAAAUGCUUGUUAACACAAUCUUGUGAAGCCCACCUUCAAGUACUAACCUUUCCUGUGACAGUCUCAUACGUAAAAGCAAAGCAUGAAAUCUAAGGUGUUUAGUACCAUGAGCAUGUCCAGUGUUAUGCUACAUCAGGUUCUAUCUUAAGUCAAAAUGUAAUUCCAGUGCUCUCCCUGUUUGUGAAAGCCAUUACAUUUCCCACUAUUGCUUCUAUCUUUCCUCUUAAGUAAAGAUCAACAUACUUCUGGAGAGCUAGGUUGCGGUGUAGUUUCCAUUCCUGCCUUGCUCUCUGCUUUUGUUGGAAGCUGUAUAUCUGAACACCAAUUGUCAGAAGAAGAUGGAAGAGUGAAAUUAUUCCAAGGAACUUGUAACUUGAUCGAAUGCUCUGAUCUUCUCCUUGUAGUCCUCCAAAGUGCAGCUGCGUAAUGCACACAAAUAGAGAUGUUUAGUUGCUUCAAUUUUACAAAACUAUGCCUUCCCCCAUUAUCAAUAAACCCUUUAUCUCCUCCUCACCCAGACUGCACUGCGUGUAUUAUAAUCAGCAAAAUUCUAUAUCCCUUUUAUGCACACUGCAUCCCAAAAGAAGCCAAAAUACUGCAGUGCAUGUGAUUUUGACACAAUUAAUAGAUCUACUUACAUAUCUGAUUCCUGCAAUUCUUUUAGAUAGGUGAUAAAAAGUGCCAUGUAUGUAGAACACUGCCAGAUGUAGUCGGUGAAGCAAAGGGAUGGACUGUUUAAGGAUGUACACAACUUGUAGGAUUGUUUUCUUCUGUUGUUCUGUAAGUUCCCUGACUUGUUUCUGAAUCCAGUUUCGUAUUAAGGUCCUACUGGAUAAGCCAAGUGCUGGGUUGCUUUGCAAGGUUCUUGCCCCAUCAUCUUCUAUCUGCAACUCAUGUUCCAGAUGCUGCAAUCCCUUUUCUAAGUAAUAGGGUACUAUGGUAUGGAGAGAAACGAAGAUGGCCCGUCGAAGAAAAGAAGGUACCCUUUUCUUGGUGGAGUCAACUUGAACAAUGUUGACAUAUUCUUCACCCAGAGUCUGAUAACCUGGAUGUGGGGAACAGAAAAUAAGUAGUUUUAGUGUGUGUGGCUGAGGGGGGUAACAGGCUCAGGUCUAAGUUUUGGUCUUCCAGUGAGCAACCUAUUUGCAACAGCAUUCAGUAUCUGUGAUGGUUUUAGGCUUAAGGCAGGAAUACACGGCUAUCCAGCUCGAUAUAUUGUAUCCAUAUUGUAUGGAUUUACUGCUGCGUUUGAUCUCUGCCUCCUGACAGUUAUUCAGUAACAAGGCGCUGUGGUCACCGCAACACCGCGGGUGCGCAGAGCAGCACAGAGCCGCGGGCACAUUACCUGACAGGGUGGUGAGGGCGAAGUAGGCAACGUCGGAGAGCAGCUCGAUCUCCCUCCUCCACUCCAGCCACUUCUUAGCCCCUAAGAGAUCAGGAUUGUUAUUUUAAGUCAAACUCGUACUGAUCUAACCUCUCCUCCGACAGCGAUUCCUCGCAGAUCCCCCGCCGCACUUCCAGCCCCGCCCGGCCCCGUGAGGCAGCGCGCAGCCGGGAGCCCUCUCCUCAGCAGCGUUCGGAGGAAUGGAGCCGUCGCGCCCCGCGUCACCUCAGCACAACACCGAUCCGCAGGAGGGGUGACGUUACCCGCGAUCCCGUGCAGCGCGGUGCCGGCCCCGCUGCGCAGGCCGCUCCGGUACAGCUCGUCCUUCUGCCCGCAGCGCACCAGCCGAGCCGGCCCGGCGGGGCCCAGCGCCAUGGCGCGGCGCAGGGUGACGACGUCACCGCGACUGGGCGGGAAGUUGAAGGGGAGGUGCGGUUCCCGCCUCGCUCGCGCGCCGCUCGGCAGCCGUUGGCGCUGCGCUUCCCGCCUUCCCGCUGAGGGGAGCGCUGCCCUCAGGUGGCGGCGUCUGUGGUACGUGAUGGCACGCGCCAGCGAGCGCGAGGCUGGCAGCACCUCAGAGCUCAGUGCCCUGGUCACAGCGACACAGCUCACCUGUUUUACUGCGCCAAACGGACUGUGAAACUGUGGUGAAUCUCGUGCUGUCCCGUUGUUCGAGGCGCAGCUCGAUUUUUUUGGUAAUGCAAAGAAGGGCACGCGACCUAAACACAGCUGCUACAGAUUGCUCCAUCUGUAGCUGCACAAGCAGCGCAAUUAAAGAAAAAUGUUGGAAAGUUUGUUCUGGUGAAGCAGCAGGGGGAGCUCCUGCAUCAGAAAUCUGCCCGGAUCGCCUCCGCUUCCACACCGGUUUGCCAUCGCCUUCCCCAGGGAGCUGCCCCGCAGACACCAGGCCAACCCAGCGGGACGGCCUUCCCACCGCUCCGUUUAGAAUUCGAGGUCACCUCAUAGCCCCGUACGAUUUGAUUCUGCUCGAAGGUGGAGAAGCUAAGGAAGCUGUCAGUUAAGCCUGAAAGUUGAAAUGCUGGCUAACGAGCUCUUAAUUAGGAGAUUGGAAACCAUUUGUGAAGCUGAAGAUAAGGCGAGGUUUUGGAGGCUUCCAAAGGUCAGAUUUUUCUUUUCCUAAGUAAUUGUUAUUGUAGUAAAUAACAGUGGAGCUUUAAAAUAAGUAGUGUAGUCAAAGCGUAUCCAAGAAGAAUGAGAAAAUAAACCUAUGGUUUGGAGGACGUUGUGGGUGAUGGAAUCCAUUCCUACUUUUUGCUAAGUGGCUGUUUUUGCCAUGGAGAACCCAAACCAACCUUAGCAACGCUUCUAAAUCCAAACUGCAAGUAAUUUUAAUUGAUUUAUGGUAAUUGCUUUGGUUUUGCGUCCAUUCAAUCUGUUCCUUGCUUCAAAGUUUUAUGAGCUCAUUUUGUUAAUUAUUUACUAAUUUUUUUUUUUUUUGAGUUCACAUAUUAACUAUUCC